rnacentral:rRNA from 1 species
UACGAAGGGGGCUAGCGUUGUUCGGAAUUACUGGGCGUAAAAGCGCGCGCAGGCGGUCUUCCAAGUCAGUGGUGAAAAGCCUGGAGCUCAACUCCAGAACUGCCAUUGAAACUGUUAGACUUGAGUACGAGAGAGGUGAGUGGAAUUCCCAGUGUAGAAGGUGAAAAUUCGUAGAUAUUGGGAAGAACACCAGUGGCGAAGGCGGCUCACUGGCUCGUAACUGACGCUCAGGCGACGACAGCGUGGGAUCGAAACAGG